CGGUGUGUGGGUGGUGAUAUAUUUUUUUAACUGGUUAUGACCUCUCAAGGUUGUAAUCUUGUAAUUUUUUUCUACUUUAUCAAUACGAACUUGGCACUGUCAGUACGAGACGUUCAAAAAAAACGAGCGUGUACACUGGUGUGCAUAUGCAUAGUGGUAUGUCUGACUACAUCGAUCUGCGGUUUCUGUAAAAAAGAAAACAAACCUUGUGAUACAACACGUGCAACAUUACCCUUUACUUGCUAAUCAAGGCUCCCGACACCCCUGAAAGAGUGUACACCGCAAAUUUGGACCGUGCAGGAAGCAAUCUUGGCCGUCACUCCACUGCACUCCUAUUAAUAAUCCUUCUGACUCAAAACACACACAGCAGCCGCGGGCCGCCGCAUACCAGUACCACAAACCAAACAAGAUCAUGGGGAGCAUGAGCACACCGGCGGCGAGCGCCACCACCUCGAACAUCGAGGACAACAACAACGGCGGGCAAGUGCUCCUGUUGCCGUUCCCGGCGGCGCAGGGCCACACCAACCCGAUGCUCCAGUUCGGGCGCCGCCUCGCGUACCACGGCCUCCGCCCCACCCUCGUCACCACGCAGUACGUGCUCUCCACCACGCCGCCACCGGGGGACCCCUUCCGCGUGGCCGCCAUCUCCGACGGCUUCGACGACGCCAGCGGCAUGGCCGCGCUCCCGGACCCCGGGGAGUACCUCCGCACCCUGGAGGCUCACGGGUCGCCGACGCUGGCGGAGCUCCUCCUCUCCGAGGCGCGCGCGGGGCGGCCGGCGCGCGUGCUGGUGUACGACCCGCACCUGCCGUGGGCGCGCCGCGUGGCGCGCGCCGCCGGCGUGGCCACCGUUGCGUUCCUGUCGCAGCCGUGCGCCGUCGACCUCAUCUACGGGGAGGUGUGCGCGCGGCGGCUGGCGCUGCCGGUGACGCCGACGGACGCGAGCGGUCUGUACGCGCGGGGUGUGCUCGGCGUCGAGCUGGGGCCCGACGAUGUGCCGCCGUUCGUCGCGGCGCCAGAGUUGACCCCAGCCUUCUGUGAGCAAUCGGUCGAGCAGUUCGCCGGACUGGAGGACGAUGACGACAUUCUCGUCAACUCCUUCACUGACCUCGAGCCAAAGGAGGCAGCAUACAUGGAGUCGACAUGGCGUGGGAAGACGGUCGGCCCGUUGUUGCCGUCGUUCUACCUCGACGACGGCCGGCUGCGGUCGAACACGGCAUACGGGUUCAAUCUCUUCAGGAGCACCGUGCCAUGCAUGGAAUGGCUGGACAAGCAACCUCCUCGCUCUGUCGUCCUUGUGUCGUAUGGGACAAUCUCCACCUUCGACGUAGCCAAGCUGGAGGAGCUCGGCAAUGGCCUUUGCAACUCCGGCAAGCCAUUCCUUUGGGUUGUCAGGUCCAAUGAGGAGCACAAGUUAUCUGUCCAACUCCGAAAAAAGUGUGAGAAGAGAGGACUAAUUGUUCCUUUUUGCCCCCAGCUGGAGGUGCUUGCUCACAAGGCCACAGGUUGUUUCUUAUCGCACUGUGGAUGAAACUCGACAUUGGAGGCAAUUGUUAAUGGCAUACCGCUUGUGGCAAUGCCACAUUGGGCUGACCAACCAACCAUUUCAAAGUAUGUGGAGAGCUUGUGGGGCACGGGCGUGCGAGUGCAGCUGGACAAGAGCGGCAGCUUACAAAGGGAAGAGGUAGAGAGAUGCAUCCGGGAGGUGAUGGAUGGUGACAGGAAGGAGGACUACAGGAGGAAUGCUGCAAGGUUGAUGAAGAAAGCUAAGGAGUCAAUGCAGGAAGGAGGGAGCUCUGACAAGAAUAUUGCUGAAUUUGCUGCGAAGUAUUCAAAUUGACAAAAAUUAUUGCUGAAAUCUCAAGCACCCAGCUAUAUAUCAGAGAUAUUCUAGUUCUGAAUACAAUUGUUUUUUCUUCCCAGAGAAGUUCAUGGAGGUCAAGGUGCUGAACUGCUGAUGUUUUCCACGAGUCAGCAGAAGUAAAUUAAGAGCAGAAGUAAAUUAAGUUUACAGUGUGUGUAAAAUGGUAAUUUAUACUACUUACAAUUUUUAUUUCAUAACUGAAGUGUCGUUAGCUUAUGUCCUCGUCGAGGGCAACAAGCUACCUUAGAGAUAUCAGGACAACAAAUGAAUUAUGUAAGCUUUAUAUACUUUGAGAGUACCGG